AAUAGAUACCCUGGUAGUCCACGCCGUAAACGAUGAGUGCUAGGUGUUAGGGGGUCCAACCCUUAGUGCCGAAGUUAACACAUUAAGCACUCCGCCUGGGGAGUACGGUCGCAAGACUGAAACUCAAAGGAAUUGACGGGGGCCCGCACAAGCGGUGGAGCAUGUGGUUUAAUUCGAAGCAACGCGAAGAACCUUACCAGGGCUUGACAUCCCUCUGACCGUUCUAGAGAUAGAGCUUCCCUUCGGGGCAGAGGUGACAGGUGGUGCAUGGUUGUCGUCAGCUCGUGUCGUGAGAUGUUGGGUUAAGUCCCGCAACGAGCGCAACCCUUGUCCUUAGUUGCCAGCAUUCAGUUGGGCACUCCAGGGAGACUGCCGGUGACAAACCGGAGGAAGGUGGGGAUGACGUCAAAUCAUCAUGCCCCUUAUGUCCUGGGCUACACACGUGCUACAAUGGCUGGUACAAAGGGUAGCGAAGCAGUGAUGUGGAGCCAAUCCCAAAAAGCCAGUCACAGUUCGGAUUGUAGGCUGC
rnacentral:rRNA from 1 species